rnacentral:rRNA from 1 species
GACGAACGCUGGCGGCGUGCUUAACACAUGCAAGUCGAGCGGUAAGGCCCUUUCGGGGGUACGACGAGCGGCGAACGGGUGAGUAACACGUGGGUGACCUGCCCUCCAGCUCUGGGAUAAGCCUGGGAAACCGGGUCUAAUACCGGAUAUGACUCCAUGACGCAUGUUGUGGGGUGGAAAGCCUUGUGCGGCUGAGGAUGGGCCCGCGGCCUAUCAGCUUGUUGGUGGGGUGAUGGCCUACCAAGGCGACGACGGGUAGCCGGCCUGAGAGGGCGACCGGCCACACUGGGACUGAGACACGGCCCAGACUCCUACGGGAGGCAGCAGUGGGGAAUCUUGCGCAAUGGGCGAAAGCCUGACGCAGCGACGCCGCGUGAGGGAUGACGG